GCGGCCGUAGUCUAGUCUGGUAGGAUGGCGGCCUUCCACGCCGCAGAGCCCUGUGUAGGCGCGGAGAACCCGGGUUCAAAUCCCGGCGGCCGCACCA
rnacentral:tRNA from 1 species